rnacentral:rRNA from 1 species
GACGAACGCUGGCGGCGUGCUUAACACAUGCAAGUCGAACGGAAAGGCCCUGCUUUUGUGGGGUGCUCGAGUGGCGAACGGGUGAGUAACACGUGAGUAACCUGCCCUUGACUUUGGGAUAACUUCAGGAAACUGGGGCUAAUACCGGAUAGGAGCUCCUGCUGCAUGGUGGGGGUUGGAUAGUUUCGGCGGUUGGGGAUGGACUCGCGUCUUAUCAGCUUGUUGGUGGGGUAGUGGCUUACCAAGGCUUUGACGGGUAGCAGGCCUGAGAGGGGGACCGGCCAAAUUGGGACUGAGAUACGGCCCAGACUCCUACGGGAGGCAGCAGUGGGGAAUAUUGCACAAUGGGCGGAAGCCUGAUGCAGCAACGCCGCGUGCGGGAUGACGGCCUUCGGGUUGUAAACCGCUUUCGCCUGUGACGAAGCGUGAGUGACGGUAAUGGGUAAAGAAGCACCGGCUAACUACGUG